CAUUUUUCUCUCAAAUCCCUCCCAAUCGAGCUCUCCUAAAAAUUUAUACAAAGAAAUUUCUCUCCCCCUUCUCUUUCAAGCUGAGCGGACCAGCUAGGGCUCCGCCGCCGCCGCCGCCGAAGUUCCGGCGAGGAGAGCCGGCCUCGUCCGCCUUAUCUCUCUUUCUUUUGACUCAAUUCGGGCAUUCACAAACUCACACCACCGCCCGACUUCUCAAUCUCCGGCGAACUGCAGUGAGAAGCCGCCGCCACUCUCCCUCAAAAUCUCACCUAACCACCGCCUCAAUUUGAAAAGGUUCCAGCCGCCACCACCGCCUGUAUCUCAAGCGGCGGCGCCACUCUCUCCUCCAAACCCUAGAUCCCUAAUUCCUCUGUCUGAAACCCUAGGGCCCCAGAUCUAGACUCCACCCUCUCCGACCUCCGGCAUCAAUAACAGCUCCUCACCGCCGUGCCUGGACUUCCUCGAUCCCGAGUCAGACGGCGGCUAAGCGUCACCGCCGAUACUCUCUUUAAUUUUUGUGAAGCAGGAUUAUUAUGUGAAUAUGGGUUACACGAUUUAGACUAUCCGACAGGAGUUUCCAGAGCUUUUCUACCGAGAGCUAAGCUUUUAUACACGCCAUUUUUUGCUCGUUGAUGCGUUUUUUAGCUUUCAAGUUUAAUUUAAUUAUUCGUUUAGUUUUGGGGAUCAUAGUGAAGAAAUUAACAAGCCUACUUUGAGUAAAUCAAGUACUUGGGACUGGUUCACUGAAUUAAUACGAAUUGUUUGAUAUGGUAUUUGUAUUAACAUGUGAUCGAGUUGUGUUCUGUUUCUUGAUUUUGGGUUCAGUAAUUUCUUAACUUAUUUCUUUUUCUUGCAAAAAUUAGGACCUCCAAAACUAGAGAAUGAAGCUGGACACUCAGUUUAAGGUUUACCGUGAUGAGCUCUCAGAGCUCAAGAAGUAGCUAAAUACUGAAGUUGAUCAGCUCCGAACAGUUAGUGGCCCUUCUAUUCUUCAUACUUAUACCUUACAUCCUUGAUAAUAGCACUUUAGGUAAAGACUUUGAAAUGAGGUUCCAGUUCUGAAGAGCGAUUUUGUCGUGUUAUUUCUGAUUUUGAAGCGAUUAAGGUUUUAAUUUGAGAAAAUUGAAUAACUGGAUAAGUGGUUGAUUGUGAAGUUCAAUUAGCUGAUAAGUAGCUAAUGUAAAUUAAGUGAAUUUCAAUUAGCUUAUUUUCUUGCUGCAUUGUUCGACUUGAAUAUGUAGCUGGUGUAUUUGUUGAAUUGAGAUGUGAUUGAUACAUACGACUAAGAUUAUGCUAAUUGUUUGCUUUUCUUUCUUGUUAGAUUAUGUGGCUACAAAGGUUGUUGAACGUGAUAUGUCUUUAGCAAUCAAAAUGAUGCUUAGUUUUUUGGCAAAAUUUGAAUUUUUUGAACUGCUGCAUUUGGUUUGAUGCCAAUUUAAGGAACUGAUUAAACUGUUUAGUUAAUUUCAGAAUAGGGCAUUGGAGAUAUCAUCUGAUUUAAAGUGAAGUAGGGAACAUCCAUAUUUCUUGUUGAUUUUUGGGCAGGAAAGUGAAGGCGGAUUUCUGAAAUUGAAGAAAACAAGUGAAUGGCUGUUGGGAGACGUUGACUCAGCACCAAGGUUCUUGCUGUUACGGUCAAAUUUAUUCUAAAAGAUGUUGAGUAGAGAAACACAUCAUUUAAUCUGAGGCUGUUACUUCAGGUUUGUGGUGGAUUAAAUGAGCCGUACGUUGAGCUGAAGAGUCUUGUGAAUUAACAAGAAAAGUUGUACCGGAUGGCUAGCUAGUUGCAUAUUUAAUAUGUUUAGUAUUUUUGUAAGGAAUAAUAGUAUAGAUAAAGCAGUUGUUGAAUUUUGACUAUAUUCAAAUCUUGUAUGAAUUCUUUUUUAUGAUAAUAAUAUAAAAUUAAAUAUUUUGGAUGA